CCAGUUCUUAGGCAGCCAGCCAUCUUUUCUGAAUGCCUGAAUCUCCAGCCCCUUACCUGGGAGUGGCCCCCAGGGACCUGUCUACUUGGGUGCUGGAGUACCACCCUGAAGUCCUGGCCUGGGAGAACUCGAGCACAAAGAAGCCAUCGCCUGACCAGAGCUGUAUAGAAACACCCUCAGGUCAGAUAUCAACCCUCUCUGCUGCAGCCUGCUGCCCUGUUGCUGGUCCUUUCCCAGACAGAAAGGGGGAGUGCAUGUGUGUCCCCACCAGCGGGGACCCAGUUAUUCAGGGUCCCGAAGAGGCUUUCUACCUGUGGGCCAAAAUGGGGGUGAAGAGAAGAAGGAGACCAAGCAAAAGUUCUGUUGUCAAGGUCUCGUUAAUUGGGAUGAACGUUACAGCUUUUAAGGCUUUCAGGUAGGGGGAGUGACCUUUGUGAAACAUGAAGGAGGGGGAGAGGAGGGUAUAGGCAGUGAUAGCUGGAGGCAAAGAGGUCAGGCGAUGAGGUCAGGUGGUGGAGACACCGGGUGUAGACUGAG
rnacentral:lncRNA from 1 species